AGACUGUCGUGGGACAGUCGUGAGACAGUCGUGGGACAGUCGUGGGACAGUCGUGGGACAGUCGUGGAACAGUCGUGGAACAGUCGUGAGACUGUCGUGGGACUGUCGUGGAACAGUCGUGAGACUGUCGUGGGACUGUCGUGAGACAGUCGUGAGACAGUCGUGAGACAGUCAUGGGACUGUCGUAGGACAGUCGUGAGACAGUCGUGGAACAGUCGUGAGACUGUCGUGAGACUGUCGUGGGACUGUCGUGGGACUUUCUGCGAGACAGUUGUGAGAAGUCUAAGACGGUCGGUGAGACAGUCUUACAGACGUAAGAAAGUUGGUGGGACAGUGUGUGAGGCAGUCGGUGGAACAGUCCGAGACAGCCAUGGGACGAAGGACAGUCGUGAGACAGUCAUGGGACUGUCGUAGGACAGUCGUGAGACAGUCAUGGGACUGUCUGCGAGACAGAUUUCCGGCGGAACAGAGCCCCACCCUCCCCCAUCACCCUGUGUGACUCCCCCGUCACUAUUGUGGAUUCCUUCCGUUUCCUGGGCUCCAUCAUCACCCAGGACCUCAAGUGGGAGCUGAACAUCAGCUCCAUCACCAAGAAGGCUCAUCAGAGGUUGUUCUUCCUGAGGCAGCUGAAGAAACUCAACCUGCCAAAGACGAUGAUGGUCCACUUCUACACGGCCAUCAUCGAGUCCAUCCUCGGCUCCUCCAUCACCGUCUGGUACGCUGCAGCCACAGCCAAGGACAAGGGCAGGCUUCAGCGGGUCAUCCGCUCUGCAGAGAGGGUGAUCGGCUGCAAUCUGCCGUCCCUGCAGGACUUGUUCGCUUCCAGGUCUCUGAAGCAAGCUAAAAAGAUCGCGGCCGACCCCUCCCACCCCGGACAAAAACUGUUUGUGCCCCUUCCAUCUGGCAGGAGGCUGAGGUCCAUCAGGACUACGACCUCCCGCCACAAGAACAGUUUCUUCCCGUCGGCAGUCGGGCUCAUCAACAGAGCCCGAUCCCCCACUGCCUGACCAUAACACUCCACCCGUCACUCCCCCUCAUACUGCACAUGCCACUUUAACUGCAAUUCAUCACUUUGUCACUUGUCACUUUGUCUCUUGUCUGUUACUUGUUUGUUAGGGCACUUUAUGCUUAAUAUUUUUCUUUAACUUAAUAUUUCAAUUUUUUUUAACUUUAUUCCCUUGUUUUAUACUAACCCAUAGCCUUAGCCUUAUUCUACUAACCCAUUGCACUAGCAUUUCAUUCUACUUUAUUACUUGUGCACUGUUGUCUUGUCUGUCUACUGUCGCGCACUAACCGCCAAGACAAAUUCCUUGUAUGUUUGACAUAUUUUGGCUAAUAAAUAUUUCCUGAUUCCUGAUUCCUGAAGCCUGUAAGACGGUCGGUGAGACAGUCUUACAAACGAGCUGAAUGAGAUCUACUGCAGAUUCAAUAGACAAUGUCCUGAUCCCAUCCCCCACAGCUCCACCAACCUGCCCCAGUCCCCCACGUUAUGGUCCGGCUCAAAGGCCACAACAAAUAAGAGGAAAUCACGCUCCAGGGAGAACCAGCCAAAGAUGUUUAUUCACCAAACUGAUUAAACAAACAAAACACAGCAAAGGGAAACACUAUUGUGCUGGGGACCAGGAGAACCCCAAGCAGUCAACCCCAAACAAUCAGAAAGGGCAGGUUUUAAUGCACUCAAGAGACAGCGGACAGCUGCGUCGAAUCUGCCUUAUGGCCUCAGCUCCACUCCACCAGGAAGUUUACCCGGUAACACACACACAGACAGACACACCCACAAAUACCCUGGCAGUGGCCCUGGGGCCGUCACACCCACCCCUCCGUCCCCCAGCCCAUCAGGGGCUCACGCCUCUGUAUCACCUUCCCCUCCCCCACGUACCAGCCUGCUUCAAGGCCUCCACCAUCAUCCCUAUUCCCAAGCAGCCCAGGAUCACAGGACUCAAUGACUACAGGCCCACCUCCCUGACCUCUGUAGUCAUGAAGUCUUUUGAACGGCUAGUCCUGUCCCACCUGAAGACCCUCACUGACCCCCUCCUGGACCCCCUGCAGUUCGCCUACAGAAUCAACAGGUCUGUGGACGAUGCUGUCAACAUGGCCCUCAACUACAUCCUCCAGCCUCUGGACUCCCCAGGAACCUACGCCAGGAUCCGGUUUGUGGACUUCAGCUCUGCCUUCAACACCAUCAUCCCGUCUCUGCUGCAGGACAAACUCUCAGCUACACAGACAAAUAACAAAGGAUCCAAACAAAUAAGUUAGCGGGUGUAGAGCUGAUGCUCAGUGAUCCAUGCCCGGUCAGGCCGCUUCAGCCAAACAGCGUGGGUCGGAGGGAUCGACGCUACCAUGAGAAUUACCAGCGGCGGACAUUGAGUGCAUCAGGUGGAGAGUAGUAUGCAGCCACACCAGUGAGCUUCUGUCACCACACAGCGCCGCGUGAAAGACGCCUGGCUAAUGAAAUGCAGACAGGUGCUCUGAGGCCGCCUUUGUACCGCAUUGUCAUGCAGCGAUUGGCUGUGAUCCAGACCCAGCUGAAAGUUAUUAGGACCAAUCACUGCAUACUGCCACACAAGCCCAAAAGAUCGUAGCCGACCCCUCUCACCCCAGACAAAACCUGUUUGUGCCCCUUCCAUCUGGAAGGAGGCUGAGGUCCCUUCAGGGCUAAGACCUCCCGCCACACGAACAGUUUCUUCCCUUCGGCAGUCGGGCUCAUCAACAGAGCCCGGUCAUCCACUGACUGACUCUGACAUUCCUCUGGUCACUUUCUUUUAAAAUUCAUAUUUUUAAAUCUAACUUUAUUCUUUUAUUUUAAACUAACCCAUAUAAUAAAAUGCUAAUGCUAUGGGGUAGUUAACAUUAGCAUUUUAUUUUAUUACGCGUGCACUGCUAGUUUGUCUAUUGUCAUACUGUCUACUGUCACGCACCAACCGCCAAGUCACAUUCCUUGUAUGUAUGACAUAUUUUGGCGAUAAAUGUCAAUGACACCUCCAAUCUACAGCAGAACCUGGCAUAUCAGGAGAUUGGAGCUACUUAGGCUCUACCACCACCACCAGUGUCUGGACUCCCAAAGGGGGGAUAUGCCUCAUCUCAGCAUCCUGGCCCCUGCGGCAGGAUGGAGUCCAAGCCCCAAACAACUUUGCAAUAUAAGUAUUUAUGCCUGUUAUAAUAAAGCAUUGUUAAAAUUUCAAGAA
ensembl:lncRNA